rnacentral:rRNA from 1 species
CCGCAAUGGACGAAAGUCUGACGGAGCAACGCCGCGUGAGUGAUGACGGCCUUCGGGUUGUAAAGCUCUGUUAAUCGGGACGAAAGGCCUUCUUGCGAAUAGUGAGAAGGAUUGACGGUACCGGAAUAGAAAGCCACGGCUAACUACGUGCCAGCAGCCGCGGUAAUACGUAGGUGGCAAGCGUUGUCCGGAGUUAUUGGGCGUAAAGCGCGCGCAGGCGGAUAGGUCAGUCUGUCUUAAAAGUUCGGGGCUUAACCCCGUGAUGGGAUGGAAACUGCCAAUCUAGAGUAUCGGAGAGGAAAGUGGAAUUCCUAGUGUAGCGGUGAAAUGCGUAGAUAUUAGGAAGAACACCAGCGGCGAAGGCGACUUUCUGGACGAAAACUGACGCUGAGGCGCGAAAGCCAGGGGAGCGAACGGGAUUAGAUACCCCGGUAGUCCUGGCCGUAAACGAUGGGUACUAGGUGUAGGAGGUAUCGACCCCUUCUGUGCCGGAGUUGACGCAAUAAGUACCCGCCUGGGGAGUACGACCGCAAGGUUGAAACUCAAAGGAAUUGACGGGGGCCCGCACAAGCGGUGGAGUAUGUGGUUUAAUUCGACGCAACGCGA